GUGGCGCAAACUCCCGUGGAGCUUUCGGUUAGCCGCAGGGAGGGAGCUUGCUGGCAGCGUCCGGCGCGUGGGGGGCAAGGGAGGAGCCGGGUCUGUACUCUGUUAACGGCCGUUUGUGGAACGGAGGCAGGUUUUCCCCUUUCAACACAUGGAAAAAAUAGAGUGCUGGGAACAGAUAUAUACAGUAAAUUGCUGCUAACCAGAAUCCUCGGAGACUAAAUCCUGGAGCACCUUAAAUGAGCCAGAUUGACGUGGUUGACUGGGCCCUUCCGGAUUGUCAUGCAGCAUCCUGUACACAUCAGAUUGAGGUACAGAGGUUGGUACUGGUUCACUGCAACAUAGGCAAGGGAUGAGCAGCACUUAGGUCCUCUUCAGCCUUAACUGGACUCAGAGGGUUUCUUUUUCGAGGGGACAAUUUUUCCAGGAAUAAUGCAUAAUCCAGGAAUUCCACAGUCAUCUGAGACCAAUUCCUUCUCAGGGCCACAGUCACAUAUAUAUGCUGAAUGUUCACUCCUGGAUGUUAAAAGGAAAUUGCUUCAUUUAUCACCAUUUUUGAAAAAUAUGACAGAAGUUUAGAGUAUUGGAAAAGAAAAAUAAAACAGCAAGAGCUGGACUUUUGAAUGGACAACAAAACAGACAGUAGUAUUGCCACAAAAGACCAUGUAAUACACACUUUUUUUCUGCUAACAACGGAAAGACAUUGCUUGCAGGUUUCAAUGUCUCAGAGAAAGAUGGGUCUCCAAAUCUUUUUGUCAUCUGGCUUGCAAAUCGUCUGAACAAGAAAGAAUGCUUCAUUUACCUCAUUGGAAACAGCGGGAGAAUUGUCUUGAACAUAGUCCAAAAGCUUUUUAGGAGGCUGCACCAUAUAAGCAGAAGUGUAGAGAUGAAAUGGAGGAGUAUCAAUGGCAGCAAGGAAUGAAACAUGUGGAGAAGGUGACAUAGUUAGAAACUGAGUGUUGACAGCAUCAGAUACAAGAGUGACACAUAUGCAGCAAAAUGGGAGUUCACUGGAAGGAAGAGCGUGGUACAAUAAUUUUGCAAUAAUAUCAAGCAUCUUAAUAAAAUGUUAGUAAUUUUAGCGAGUAAAACUUCCAACUUAAAACGUGAAUAGUUGUAUUAAUACUAACAGUUUAAAAACUGGUGAGACAGAAGAAUGUAUAAUAAAGGAUUGAGUAUUUAUGGCCUGCUGGUGAAAUUUCUAUAUGGACUUUACCGUAUAGAGGAUAAUAAUGACAACUAGUGAUAUUUUUGUCUCUAGAUAGAAUUUUUUUUAGCCUGCCUACGUCUUGCCUACAUAUGGAUGAAUGAUGAUAAAAAGAGUUUUAAAAGCUAGAUAAAAUGAAGUUAAAGUUAGUCUGUUUGAUGAAAAUAUAAGGAUGUAUUGCAGACUGUUGGAUUACAAAUUAAAAAAAUACUUAAAUAUCUAAUGCAUUGUUUCAGUGAAAAAUUAAAAAUAGGAUUACAUAUCUAAAUAAUUGAAUGGUUUGUAUUAAUAUAUAUGGGUUUGCAUAUAUAUAUUGUCAGUUGCAUAUACAGGGCUUGCUUCUGCUUUCAUUGAAGUCAAUGGGGGGGUUGUUAUUGACUUAGUGAACACUGGAGCAGACUCGAAGAGUGUGCAGUUGCAAGUAGAUGUCUAGUUUAAAUUAAAACUAACAACACCUUUUUAAGUAUAAAAUUAUAUAUCCUGCAUGUAUGUGUGUGUGGGCGAGAGAGAGGCACACACAGAUAAAACAGGCACCAUUUAAAAAUGCAACAUUGGUGUAUUUAUCACUGUAACACUGCAGUUACUGUAGAUGCCUGUGUCAAUAAAUGUCGAAUCCCCCCCCCUUUGAAUCCCAACCCUCCAAAAGUCAACACUUAUUGCCACAGGCACCUGCAUUAACUGUAGUAUCUACUAUGCUUAGGAUGGAGAUUCCAUAGUGACAAGCAUACCAAUGUUGAGUUUCUAAAUGGCGCCCAUUUUCUGUAGGUGCGUAUGUGUAUUAAAAGUAGACACAUUCCUUCAUACAAAACUGAGUGCUUUUGGCUUUGGAAUCUAUAAUUUUAAAAAACUGUCUUCUACUCUUGAUAAUUUAAUCAAUCUAAUGCAAAAAUUUAGUAAAAGUAAAAAACAAUUCUGUUUUAUAUACAGCUGAUAUUACACUUAGCAACAAGUAUAUACCACUUAUUCUAUGUAGUCUAUGCACCUUAAUUAGUGAUUAAA